UGGGGAAUCUUGGACAAUGGGCGAAAGCCUGAUCCAGCAAUGCCGCGUGUGUGAAGAAGGUCUUCGGGUCGUAAAACACUUUCAGCGGGGAAGAAAAACUCAAGGCUAAUACCCUUGAGGCUUGACGGUACCCGCAGAAGAAGCACCGGCUAACUCUGUGCCAGCAGCCGCGGUAACACAGGGGGUGCUAGCGUUAAUCGGAAUUAUUGGGCGUAAAGGGCGCGUAGGCGGAUAUCUAAGUCGGAUGUGAAAGCCCUGGGCUCAACCUAGGAAUUGCAUUCGAUACUGGGUAUCUAGAGUGUGGUAGAGGGAAGCGGAAUUUCCGGUGUAGCGGUGAAAUGCGUAGAUAUCGGAAAGAACACCAGAGGCGAAGGCGGCUUCCUGGACCAACACUGACGCUGAGGCGCGAAAGCGUGGGUAGCAAACA
rnacentral:rRNA from 1 species